rnacentral:rRNA from 1 species
AACCCGACUCCGUGAAGCUGGAUUCGCUAGUAAUCGCGCAUCAGCCAUGGCGCGGUGAAUACGUUCCCGGGCCUUGUACACACCGCCCGUCAAGCCAUGGGAGCCGGGAGCGCUUGAAGUGCGUCGCCGCGAGGCGCGCCCUAGAGCGAGACCGGUGACUGGGGCUAAGUCGUAACAAGGUAAC